UUAAUAAAAACAAAAUACAAUGAGUUAUAUAAUUGUCUUAGAAAAGGAGGUGGGAAAACGAAGAAGACAAAGAGGCGAAUAAGGGCCGCACGACCCCGACCUCCUCUCACCGACGUGGCAUUCUCCGACCAGCGUCUCAUCUCAUCAGCGGUUCGCUGACCAUCGUCGCCAGCACUUCCUAUUGCCCGUCACUCCUCCGUUUUUCCUCGCCGCCACCCAGACUACCGACGCCGACGGUCCGUACUCCAGGCCCUCCUUUUUCCGUUGCCGCAUCCUCCCAGCCUCCCCGGUAUGUCAUCUCAGUUAUUUUAUUUUUAUUUUUAUUUUUUUUUUAAUUUCUUUAAGUUCUCUACAAACCUUAACUUCCAUUUAAUUUAAUACUCGUUUAAUUUUCUGUUUUAGGUUAUGCUCAUUGCUGGGUUAUAAAAAUAUGGAUUUAGUUAACUGAAUGGAAUUAGAUUUAUAGAAAAUGCUAAUGAAUCAUGAAAAGAAAUAUAUUCAUACAUAACAGGUGAAAAAAAGUAUAGGAGGGGAAAACCUAAAUGAAUGUGGCAGGUUCAGGACUUAUGUGAAGCAAAUCCUGAGAGCCCGGGUGUAGAUGAAGUAAUAUGCCCUUGUUCGGUAUGUAAGAAUAGACGUCUUCAUGAUGCAAACACAGUAAAACUUCAUUUGUAUAAGAAAGGGUUUAUACCUAAUUACUAUGAGUGGGUGUCUCAUGGUGAAGGGUUCCCUACAUCAAGUGUAUAACAACCAAAACCUUACCGUGAAAUGGUUCUCGAUGCUCUUGGGUAGGGGUGAGAGUAGCAGGGUACCCUGUAAAAAUCUUAGGAUCCAGAACCGGAACCAGUUGCAACAGGUUCCUAAAAAUGGGCCGGGAACCGAAACCGGAACCUGUUCAACAGGUUCCUAAAAAUUGGGAAUCGGAACCGAAACCUGCAGGUUCCGGUUCCUCAACAGGGUACCUUGUCUUUCAAAGUAAGCUUAAUAAUUACUUGAUAAAUUUUAACAAAAAGAAAAAUAGAUGUUCACAAUAAAAGCUUACAACUUUAAUAUAGUACAACAAAUAUAACAAACUAACACUCAUUGUCUAGAAUAUUUGAUACAAUAUUAUAAAUACUUGUAUUAAUACCAUUAACUAAACCUUUUAAGAGUAAGAUGAAAAAUGAAUAAGAGGAGGAAGAGAGGUAUGUGAUGGCUUUUACACAAUUUUGAUGUAAGAAGGCAUUAUAUUUGGGUUUAAAUGAUAGGUUCUGAUUUUGUGUAUCCUACAGGGAACCUGUACUAACAGGGUACCCUACAGGUUCCGGGUCCAAAAUUUUAUUACCCGAAACCGGAACCUGUUGCAACAGGUUCCCAAUUUUAUUACUCGGAAUCGGAACCUAAUCUACAGGUUCCGGGUUUGGAACUUGCAGUUUCGAACAGGUCCCCGUUUCGGUUCUAGGUCAGGGUACCCUGAAUUUUUUCUCACCCAUACUCUUGGGAGUAAUCAUGAACCAUCGGGUGACGAUGGUACUAGUGGUUCAGAUGAAGAGCCAAAUGCUCAAGCAAAAGCAUUUCAAGAUCUUUUAAAGGCUGUCAAGCAACUAAUGUAUGAAGGGAGCUCCAUGUCUGUCCUAGAAAUGGCAUCUCGAAUUGUAUCUUUGAAAUCGGAAUACAAUUUUCCCCAUAGGUGUGUUGAUGGGUUUGCUUCAUUAAUGAACGAAGCAAUUCCAAACGAUAAUAAGAUGGGGAAAACAUUCUAUGAUACAAAGAAGAUUCUUAACGGACUUGAGCUUCCGCACGAGAAGAAUCACACAUGCCCAAAGGGUUGUAUGUUAUUGAUAGCAUGAUAUUUUGUAUGAUUAUAGAGUGGUAUUUAACAUUGAAUUUGUGAGGAAUCGAUGCCUUAUUUCAUCAUUCACUCUAUUUUUAUGCAUUUUUGUGUAUUACGUGCUUCACGGGGUUUUUUUUAUUGUUUUUUUUAUAACAUUUUAAGUCCAAUGAUCACACUACGAAGCAUCCCGGGAAGUAUGCAAGGAAUUUUGAGCAGUGAGGAAAUGGAGUGAAGCAAUUUCGAAGAAGAAAGAAUCAAGAUCGAAGAAAGGAAGGAAAAUAAAGGCCAAGAAGACCCUACACGGACGUGAUAACUCUUGCACGCUCGUGCAGGGGUGUUCCAGAAUGACUAUUGAUACUGCCCAGGUUUGCACGACCGUGCAACAUCAAGAACGCCCGUGCAAAACCUUAGGCAUGGUCGUGGAAAGCCCUGCACGCCCGUGCAGGGUGUCUUGGUCCAAAACAGUAGCUACUGCUUCAGCAUAAGAAGACCUGCACGGACGUGCAACAUUUGGCACGCCCGUGCAGCUUGCAAGAUACCAAGACAGUAGGUUUCGCCUUCUACUGUCUGAUUGUUCAUGGCCGCGCACAAUGCUUCACGCCCGAGCUGCCUAUGCUUCACGCCCGUGCUGCCUAUGCUGCACGCUUGUGCCAAGCUACAGUCGAACCCGAUUCUUGUUUUCUCCAUCUUUUUUUGGGGGUCUUAUAAAUACCUCCCUUGAACUCAUUUGUACGGACCUUCUUCCCUUUUAACUCCCUUAGGCUUAUUCUCUUGAUUAGUUUAUAGUUUUCCUCUCCCUUAGUUUCUAAAAAAACUCAAUCAUUUGUAAGAAUUAUUGGAAGUUUCUUCCAACAAUUUCAACAAUUUCUCAACUUUGAAUCUUAUUAAGUAA